rnacentral:lncRNA from 1 species
CCCACCUGGGCGACAGAGCAAGACUCCGUCUCAAAAAAGGUGGUUGGCGUUGGUGUACUAGGGCAGGAGCUAUAGGCAGACUUCGAAAUUUGAACUGGCUCGAAAAGGGCAAAGAGAUGGGCAAGGGCAGAAAACUGGAUUUAACUGUGGCUGGGAUUAGCGUUCUGAGGUGCAACCUAGUGGGGCAAAUUAGAAUAGACAUGCGGACCCGAUCAGCAUUUUGGGACCGAGGAAGUGCGAGCAAGAGGCCAAGCCCCUCUCCACCUACACUCCGUAAGAAGGCAGGCCCCGAAGGCCAGGAGACGGCGGAGAUCACCGACUUCCAGAGGGCCUCCCCGAAUUCCUGAAGACGCUGCUGGGAGGGGACUGAAGCUUCCCCGCCUUGAUGGGGAGGGGGCGUGAGGAGGGGUUUAUCUGGAUUUCCAGGCUGUGUUCUUUCUACCCCAGAGCCUAGUCUGGACCCCUUGGCUCUAGGGAGAGGGAAAAGCUGACCGUUGGGGAGGAGCUGGGAGAAGGGGCGCGAUUGCGGUGAGGGGCGGAGCUGGAACCUCGGGGCCUGAGGUGCUGAGGAUACCUGAAAGCGGGCUGAGAGUGUGCUGGAGGAGGCGGGUCCCGCGGGGGCGGAGCUAGGCUGCCUGGGCGGGGCCGGAAUCCUGACAGGCGGAGUUAGAGCGGGGGGCGGGGUCAGCGCGCGCGGGUGGGGCUCUGGCCAUGGGCAUGGGGCGGGGCCGUCAGCGGGGGCGUGGUCGGGGUGUCGCGCGGGAACCCGCGGGGGAGGAGAGCGGGGAUUCCGGAACUAGAGUGUGGGAGCCAGAGGCCGUAGCGGGCAGGGCUCGAGCACUGGAGUAGAGCAGUCCGACAGGUAGAGAGAGAAGUGAGACUGGCUGCGGCACAGGGCGGGUUAGGGCUUCAGGCAGGGCUUGAGCGGGACGAGGGGGCGGGCUCCGAGGCGGGCUAGAUCCCUGGGCUGGAUGAAGUCCGAGUCUGGGAAGAGAACCGUGUUGUGGCAGGAGGAGGCGGUGAUUGGGGUGGUGGGGCUAAGCGCGGGGCCGGGGCUGGAGCGAGGGGGGCGGGGUAGCACCUCCGCCUGUCGGUGGUGGGGCGGAGGCUGGAGGGGGUGGGCCUAGGAUGCGGAGGCGGCAGCUCGCGUGGGGGCGUGACCAUGCCUGCCGGGGGCGGGGCCGGAGGCGGGCGGUUUAGAGAGCGGGGCGGUCCUGCGGGGUGGGGGCGGGGCCUGUGCGGGCUGCAGCGCGGAGCCGAGUGGGCUGCGGGGAUGCGGGGGACCAGCUGUGUGGGCGGCGGCGCCGAGAGCCCCGGCGGCGCGGGGUUGAGCGAGGGCCCGCGGGGGCGCUGGCUGCGCUUGGCUCCGGUAUGCGCCUACUUCCUCUGCGUCUCGCUGGCUGCCGUGCUGCUCGCCGUGUACUACGGUCUCA